AUGGGUGUUGUGCCGGAUGUACAACAAGAAGAACAACUGGGGGAAGGUCAAGGUGGAGCAGGACAUGGCCGUGGAGGCAUGGCCUGGACGCUCGUCAACCUCGGCCACUUCGUGAUUACAUACCACUUCUUCCACUGGAAGAAGGGAACUCCAUUCGCUGAUGAUCAGGGGAUGUAUAAUAGAUUGACUUGGUGGGAGCAAAUGGACAACGGCAAGCAGCUUACUCGCAACAGAAUUUUUUUUGUUGUGGUUCCUGUAGUCCUCGGCCGUGCUCCACCAGCUAUUUUUUGGUUCUUGCAAUCAGGGGACUUCCUUGCAAGACAGGGCCCGCCCUCUUUUGCUUCUUCUACUACCUACUGUUGCUGCUGUUGCUGA
rnacentral:rRNA from 1 species